UAGUCCACGCCCUAAACGAUGAAUGUUAGUCGUCGGGUAGCUAGUCUAUUCGGUGAUGCAGCUAACGCAUUAAACAUUCCGCCUGGGGAGUACGGUCGCAAGAUUAAAACUCAAAGGAAUAGACGGGGACCCGCACAAGUGGUGGAGCAUGUGGUUUAAUUCGAAGAUACGCGAAGAACCUUACCUAGCCUUGACAUAUUUAAGAACACUUUAGAGAUAGAGUGGUGCCUUCGGGAGCUUUUAUACAGGUGCUGCACGGCUGUCGUCAGCUCGUGUCGUGAGAUGUUGGGUUAAGUCCCGCAACGAGCGCAACGCUCGCUGUUAGUUGCCAUCAUUAAGUUGGGUACUCUAGCGGAACUGCCGUCGAUAAGACGGAGGAAGGUGGGGAUGACGUCAAGUCCUCAUGGCCCUUACGAGCCGGGCUACACACGUGCUACAAUGGUGCUGACAAUGGGUUGCGACGCAGUGAUGCUGAGCUAAUCUCUAAAAGGCA
rnacentral:rRNA from 1 species